rfam:Hordeum vulgare subsp. vulgare, WGS project CAJW01000000 data, contig: morex_contig_1568672
GGGUGAAAUGAGGAUUAAAUAAUUAUUGAAGGACGGUAUGAUGUCCGUUGAAUCAUGUAUUAGCUCUAUCUGAUCAUUC